rnacentral:rRNA from 1 species
ACGGGAGGCAGCAGUGGGGGAUAUUGCACAAUGGGCGAAAGCCUGACCCAGCGACGCCGCGUGAGGGAAGAAGGUCUUCGGAUUGUAAACCUCUUUCAGCAGGGAAGGACAACGACGGUACCUGCAGAAGAAGUCACGGCUAACUACGUGCCAGCAGCCGCGGUAAUACGUAGGUGGCGAGCGUUAUCCGGAAUUACUGGGUGUAAAGGGUGUGUAGGCGGAGAAGCAAGUCAGGCGUGAAAUUCAGAGGCUCAACCUCUGGACUGCGCUUGAAACUGUUUCCCUUGAGAGUGGGAGAGGUAAACGGAAUUCCUGGUGUAGUAGUGAAAUGCGUAGAUAUCAGGAGGAACACCGGUGGCGAAGGCGGUUUACUGGACCACAACUGACGCUGAGACACGAAAGCGUGGGGAGCAAACAGGAUUAGAUACCCUGGUA